rnacentral:rRNA from 1 species
UACGAAGGGGGCUAGCGUUGCUCGGAAUUACUGGGCGUAAAGGGCGCGUAGGCGGAUAGUUUAGUCAGAGGUAAAAGCCCAGGGCUCAACCUUGGAACUGCCUUUGAUACUGGCUAUCUUGGAGUUCGGGAGAGGUGAGUGGAAUGCCGAGUGUAGAGGUGAAAUUCGUAGAUAUUCGGCGGAACACCAGUGGCGAAGGCGACUCACUGGCCCGAUACUGACGCUGAGGCGCGAAAGCGUGGGGAGCAAACAGGG